rnacentral:pre_miRNA from 11 species
AAUUUUAAAAUCUAAGUCUUCCUAGAAUUUUACCAUGAAAGACCCCCAAGGGAGACCCUCGCUCAAAUCUCGGGAAUAGCGCGCACCCAAUGAGGCACCGAGACCG